rnacentral:rRNA from 1 species
CACGUCGUCAAAUCAAUCUGACGGAGCCCCCUCUCUCUCCAACCCCCCUCCCUCUUACGGUACUUUUAUCUUCUUCCUCCUCCGCCCCGCCGUGGCUCUGGAUCUGGUGACCUAGCUAGAUAGCUACCCAUGGCGAGCGGCCAUGCCUCGCUCCACUGAAGCCUCCUUGCUUCGAGCUACUCCACGCCUCAGUAAUUCAACUUCUCUGCCGUGUUCCCCUUGCGUGGAUCGAUCUACUUCCGGCCGGGCGCGCAGCGCAGGACGCGAGGGCUUGGUCUUGGUCUUGCCGCUGCUGCUUCCUCUGGGCUCCAGAUCUCCCGCUCGUUGAUGGCCGGCCGGAUCUCCUCGUCGCCGGCUGGCUGUAUGCACCGUAUCUGAUCCUUCCUCUUUGUCCAUGUGUUGAAACCAAACACGGUUCGAUCUGAGCGGAUGAUCAACUUCUCCCUAUGCCAGGUUCUAGGCCAGCUACCAAGCAUCAUCUGCUCGGGAUAUUUUGUUUACUCUGACAUCCCGUAACUCUGUUGAAUUACUCUCCUAUAUAUCGUCAUGUAUAGAUGGUUCUGGGUCAGCCACCAAGAUUCCUCUGUUCUGCAUAUUUUGUUUCGUCUGACAUCCAACAAGUCUGGAAGCGAUCUCUUUAUAGCGUCACAUAUAACUGGCACGCUUCUUUUGAAGUCUCGUGCAUUUACUUGGAGCUCAUUGACACCGGUUUUUAACUGAAAAAACAUGAUACUAUGCAAUUUGUCCUCACCCCGCCGGUGGGUCAGCGGUAUAGUUAUGGCUCACCCUUGGUGUGCUUCGGCGAUGAUCACCUUUGGGGUGCAUUAAGGUGAAGGCCGUGCUGUCUGAUGCCAUGCUGUCACAUGAUCAUGUAACUGUAAUAAGAACUACGGGUGAUAGAAUAUGCAUGAAAACAAUUGGUCAGUUCAUCAUAUCCCCUGCCACCAGCUACAAAGUAUAACAAUAUCCACAUGUUUUAUAUCCCCUGUCACCAACUACAACAUGUGAAAAUCUUGACAGGUAACAAAUUGGUAACUGAGCAACAUCUAUGCUGUCAUGUAACAAUAAUGACGAGGUUCAGUCAGAGUCAAGAUGUCAUUGUGUUGUACUGUCAAAGAAAAAGGAUGUUCGCAUGGCAUUGCUACUGUGAAAAAAACUGCAUGCCAGCAACUCAAUAGUACUAAGAUAUACCUCUUCGCCAGUUUAAUGGAGGGCAGAACUCGAAAACAAAAAAAAUCAAGAGGGCAUUGCUUAGCGCGUUUAGUAAUUUUCUACUCACCUAUACUCCCCAAACAUUUCUUCAAGACAUUUUGUAUCCCUUCCAGUUGAGUUGUUGAGAUGUCAUACAUAAAUGUUUUCCAGAUAUAAUAGUUCAGUUUGAAGCAGAAAUCAAAAAACAUGUUUACGUGAUAACCUGUAAUAGAUAGACUUCACGCUCAAAAUACAUGUGUGUAUCUUCAUUGCAAUUUGGAGAAGUAGCUAUCCAAACCAAGAUGCU